UAAACGGCCCUUUUCAGGGCCAACACGACACCGAAUUCGGCGCUU
rfam:Acyrthosiphon pisum strain LSR1 Contig1000977, whole genome shotgun sequence.